GAUGAACGCUGGCGGCGUGCCUAAUACAUGCAAGUCGAGCGAACAGACGAGGAGCUUGCUCCUCUGACGUUAGCGGCGGACGGGUGAGUAACACGUGGAUAACCUACCUAUAAGACUGGGAUAACUUCGGGAAACCGGAGCUAAUACCGGAUAAUAUAUUGAACCGCAUGGUUCAAUAGUGAAAGACGGUUUUGCUGUCACUUAUAGAUUGAUCCGCGCCGCAUUAGCUAGUUGGUAAGGUAACGGCUUACCAAGGCAACGAUGCGUAGCCGACCUGAGAGGGUGAUCGGCCACACUGGAACUGAGACAAGGUCCAGACUCCUACGGGAGGCAGCAGUAGGGAAUCUUCCGAAAUGGGCGAAAGCCUGACGGAGCAACGCCGCGUGAGUGAUGAAGGUCUUCGGAUCGUAAAACUCUGUUAUUAGGGAAGAACAAAUGUGUAAGUAACUAUGCACGUCUUGACGGUACCUAAUCAGAAAGCCACGGCUAACUACGUG
rnacentral:rRNA from 1 species